CACGAAGCUGGAAUCGCUAGUAAUCGCGGAUCAGAAUGCCGCGGUGAAUACGUUCCCGGGUCUUGUACACACCGCCCGUCACACCAUGGGAGUCAGUAACGCCCGAAGUCAGUGACCUAACCGAAAGGGAGGAGCUGCCGAAGGCGGGACGGAUGACUGGGGUGAAGUCGUAACAAGGUACC
rnacentral:rRNA from 1 species